rnacentral:lncRNA from 1 species
CUCCCAGUGACAUCUUUCUUUCUUUCCAUCCCAUCAGAACUUCCUUCCCUGGUGACACCAUUAACGAGACAGAGUCGACAUCCCUUUGAACUCACACCCUUACAAUCCUAAAGGUGUAAGAUUCGGGACCCUAUCAUAUGACUUAGAUGCAUAUUCUUAGGGUCACAUAGACUUAAGAAGGUGAAACCUAGGGACCAGUGUUUGUCCAGAUUUUUUA